UGGGGAGGUUGGAGCAUAGCCCUCUAUAGGAGGGGGGGGGGGCUUGGGAAAUGUUAUUGACUUUUUUUUUUACAGGGGGGAGGGGUGGGUAAAUCCUUGUUCUCCCCCAGGGGGGGGGGGUUCGGCGGGGAGGGCCCCCUAAGUCCGGCGGUUUCCCUCUCGAUGUUGGCAUGACCGCGACUACACCGGGGAGGAUCCCAAGUCGUCUUCUUUGGAAACAAAAUCUGCGGUCAACCCAAUAAGAGCGUCGUGAAGUAAAAGGAAUAAUUAUCUCCCUCUCUCAUUUAGGCAGGCGGCGUUUUAAAAAAAAAUUAUAUCUCUCUCCCCCCCCCCCCUACACACGCCCGUCGCUACUACCGAUUGAAUGCUCAGUGAGGGCCUUGGAUUGGGCUUAGGGAGGGGUGGGCAACGACCCCCCAGAGCCGAAAACUUGGUCAAACUCGGUCAUUUAGAGGAAGUAAAAGUCGUAACAAGGUUUCCGUAGGUGAACCUGCGGAAGGAUCAUUACCGAGUGAGGGCCCUUUGGGUCCAACCUCCCACCCGUGUUUAUUUUACCUGGUGGCUUCGGCGGGCCCGCCUUUACUGGCCGCCGGGGGGCUCACGCCCCCGGGCCCGCGCCCGCCGAAGACACCUCCGAACUCUGUCUGAAGAUGGAAGUCUGAGGGAAAAUAUAAAUUAUUUAAAACUUUCAACAACGGAUCUCUGGGUUCCGGCAUCGAGGAAGAACGCAGGGAAAUGCGAUACGUAAUGUGAAUUGCAAAUUCAGUGAAUCAUCGAGUCUUUGAACGCACAUUGCGCCCCCUGGUAUUCCGGGGGGCAUGCCUGUCCGAGCGUCAUUGCUGCCCUCAAGCACGGCUUGUGUGUUGGGCCCCGUCCUCCGAUUCCGGGGGACGGGCCCGAAAGGCAGCGGCGGCACCGCGUCCGGUCCUCGAGCGUAGGGGGCUUGUCACCCGCUCGGUAGGCCCGGCCGGCGCUUGCCGAUCAACCCAAAUUUUAUCCAGGGUGACCUGGGAUCAGGGAGGGAUUCCCCCGCUC
rnacentral:rRNA from 1 species